rnacentral:rRNA from 1 species
AGAGUUUGAUCCUGGCUCAGAAUGAACGCUGGCGGCGUGGAUUAGGCAUGCAAGUCGAACGGGAGUCUUCGGACUCUAGUGGCGAACUGGUCAGUACAAGUUGGGCAACUUGCCCGGAAGCGGGGGAUAACGUCCCGAAAGGGACGCUAAUACCGCAUGUGGUCACGAGGGCCUCGGCCCUUUUGACUAAAGGCUUCGGCCACUUCCGGAUGGGCCCGACCCCCAUUAGCUUGUUGGUGAGGUAACGGCUCACCAAGGCCGCGAUGGGUAGGUGGUCUGAGAGGAUGGUCACCGACACGAGGACUGAGAUACGGCCUCGACUCCUACGGGGGGCAGCAGUCUAGAAGCUUCGGCAAUGGAGGAAACUCUGACCGAGCGACGCCGCGUGCAGGAUGAAGGUCUUCGGAUUGUAAACUGCUUUCGGCAGGAAGGAAGGCCCGUAUGGUGAAUACGGGAUUGACCUACCUGCGGAAGAAGCCCCGGCUAACUCUGUGCCAGCAGCCGCGGUAAUACAGAGGGGGCAAGCGUUAUUCGGAUUUACUGGGCGUAAAGGGCGCGCAGGCGGCUCGGCAAGUCUGGCGUGAAAACGCUACCGCUUAACGGAGCGAUUGCGCUGGAAACUGCCGAACUUGAGUACGCGAGAGGCUAGCA